AUAUUUACAGUAUAUACAGGCUUAAUGUUGAUUAGUUAGGAGUACCAAUAGAUAUAUUUACAGUAUAUACAGGCUUAAUGUUGAUUAGUUAGGAGUACCAAUAGAUAUAUUUACAGUAUAUACAGGCUUAAUGUUGAUUAGUUAGGAGUACCAAUAGAUAUAUUUACAGUAUAUACAGGCUUGAUGUUGAUUAGUUUGAAGUACCAAUAAAUAGGGAAGGUUGAGAAAUCCACUAUAGAUAGUUUAGUGAUGGAGUUGAUUAGAGUACUGUAGCGAGAAAUGUUAUACUGUACUGCAUGUGGUCACUAGUAGUAAUGUUAGUGUACUGCAUGUGGUGUCUAGUAGUAACGUUAUAGUGUACUGCAUGUGGUUUCUAGUAGUAAUGUUAUAGUGUACUGUAUGUGGUCACUAGUAGUAACUUGUGGUAAUGGUAUAGUGUACUGUAUGUAGUCUCUAGUAGUAAUGUUAUAGUGUACUGUAUGUGGUCUCUAGUAGUAAUGUUAUAGUGUACUGUAUGUGGUCUCUAGUAGUCAUGUUAUAGUGUACUGCAUGUGGUCUCUAGUAGUAAUGUUAUAGUGUACUGUAUGUAGUCUCUAGUAGUAAUGUUAUAGUGUACUGUAUGUGGUCUCUAGUAGUAAUGUUAUAGUGUACUGCAUGUGGUCUGUAGUAGUAAUGUUAUAGUGUACUGUAUGUAGUCUCUAGUAGUAAUGUUAAAGUGUACUGUAUGUGGUGUCUAGUAGUAAUGUUAUAGUGUACUGCAUGUGGUCUCUAGUAGUAAUGUUAUAGUGUACUGUGUGUGGUCUGUAGUAGUGAUGUUAUAGUGUACUGUAUGUGGUCUCUAGUAGUAAUGUUAUAGUGUACUUUAUGGGGUAGAGGUUCAUCAAAGAGAAGGAUAAUAAAUAAAAUAAAAUAAAAAAUAAAAUAAAUCAAAUUGAGCACACAGCCAUGCAAUCUCCAUAGACAAGCUCAGUGAUUUUCCAUGUGGCACCAUCAUAGGAUGCAUCCUUUCAAACAAGUCAGAGAGCAGGACAAUUAUAACUUGACCUUGGAAGAUCAGCCAUUUUGAUUACGAGUAUCUAUAUUCCAAUGGGUUUAUUGCAGCAUGAAAUUGUUUGUUUGCUUAUGGGGAGUUUUUUUUAAGUAAUCAGUUCAACUUUAUUUCACAUAUAUACUUUUAUUAUGUCUUCAAUAAUUCUAUGAUAAUAAUCUAUUUAAAAAUAACAUUCAUUUACCAGUUAGCCAUCUGUAUGUUAUGGUUGAUUACUUAAGUAUUAUUAAUAAAAGUAUUUUAGAUCAAUGAAGCUGUUUUGAUUUUAAUAUCUUUGAUGAUUUGAGGUGACAGUUGUAUCUAGUGUUGUAUGACGUUUCCAUAUUGUCAAUAAAAAUAUAGUAAAAUA